GGGCCCGCACAAGCGGUGGAGCAUGUGGUUUAAUUCGAUGAUACGCGAGGAACCUUACCAGGGCUUAAAUGUAAGUUGCAUUAGUUAGAGAUAGCUAUUUCUUCGGACCACUUACAAGGUGCUGCAUGGUUGUCGUCAGCUCGUGCCGUGAGGUGUCAGGUUAAGUCCUAUAACGAGCGCAACCCCUGUUGUUAGUUGCCAGCGAGUCAUGUCGGGAACUCUAACAAGACUGCCGGUGCAAACCGUGAGGAAGGUGGGGAUGACGUCAAAUCAUCACGGCCCUUACAGGCUGGGCUACACACGUGCUACAAUGGCGAUGACAGUGGGCAGCGACCCCGCAAGGGUGAGCUAA
rnacentral:rRNA from 1 species